rnacentral:tRNA from 1 species
GGGCCUGUAGCCAAGUCGGUUAAGGCAGCGGACUCAUAAUCCGUGCAUCCUGGGUUCGAGCCCCAGCGGGCCUA